rnacentral:rRNA from 1 species
UACGUAGGUGGCAAGCGUUGUCCGGAUUUACUGGGCGUAAAGAGCGCGCAGGCGGUCGUUCAAGUCGCGUGUGAAAGCCCCCGGCUCAACUGGGGAGGGUCACGCGAUACUGAUCGACUCGAAGGCAGGAGAGGGUAGUGGAAUUCCCGGUGUAGUGGUGAAAUGCGCAGAUAUCAGGAGGAACACCGGUGGCGAAGGCGGGUCUCUGGGGCCGAUGACUGACGUGAGGAGCGAAAGCGUGGGGGAGCGAACAGG